GGAUUUAGUCGAGAUGUGCGAAAGCUGAUCGGGUCCCAUCAGAAUUUCGAAGUUAAGAGUACUUGGGCGAGAGUAGUACUAGGAUGGGUGACCCCUGGGAAGUCCUCGUGUUGCAUCCC
rnacentral:rRNA from 1 species